rnacentral:rRNA from 1 species
GGUGCUUGCAUCAUGAUUUACAUUUGAGUGAGUGGCGAACUGGUGAGUAACACGUGGGAAACCUGCCCAGAAGCGGGGGAUAACACCUGGAAACAGAUGCUAAUACCGCAUAACAACUUGGACCGCAUGGUCCGAGUUUGAAAGAUGGCUUCGGCUAUCACUUUUGGAUGGUCCCGCGGCGUAUUAGCUAGAUGGUGGGGUAACGGCUCACCAUGGCAAUGAUACGUAGCCGACCUGAGAGGGUAAUCGGCCACAUUGGGACUGAGACACGGCCCAAACUCCUACGGGAGGCAGCAGUAGGGAAUCUUCCACAAUGGACGAAAGUCUGAUGGAGCAACGCCGCGUGAGUGAAGAAGGGUUUCGGCUCGUAAAACUCUGUUGUUAAAGAAGAACAUAUCUGAGAGUAACUGUUCAGGUAUUGACGGUAUUUAACCAGAAAGCCACGGCUAACUACGUGCCAGCAGCCGCGGUAAUACGUAGGUGGCAAGCGUUGUCCGGAUUUAUUGGGCGUAAAGCGAGCGCAGGCGGUUUUUUAAGUCUGAUGUGAAAGCCUUCGGCUCAACCGAAGAAGUGCAUCGGAAACUGGGAAACUUGAGUGCAGAAGAGGACAGUGGAACUCCAUGUGUAGCGGUGAAAUGCGUAGAUAUAUGGAAGAACACCAGUGGCGAAGGCGGCUGUCUGGUCUGUAACUGACGCUGAGGCUCGAAAGUAUGGGUAGCAAACAGGAUUAGAUACCCUGGUAGUCCAUACCGUAAACGAUGAAUGCUAAGUGUUGGAAGGGUUUCCGCCCUUCAGUGCUGCAGCUAACGCAUUAAGCAUUCCGCCUGGGGGAGUACGGCCGCAAGGCUGAAACUCAAAGGAAUUGACGGGGGCCCGCACAAGCGGUGGAGCAUGUGGUUUAAUUCGAAGCUACGCGAAGAACCUUACCAGGUCUUGACAUACUAUGCAAAUCUAAGAGAUUAGACGUUCCCUUCGGGGACAUGGAUACAGGUGGUUGCAUGGUUGUCCUCAGCUCCUGUCCUGGAAAUGUUUGGGUUAAUUCCCCCCACCAACCGCACCCCUUAUUAUCAUUUGCCACCAUUAAAUUUGGGCACUCUGGUGGAAACUGCCCGUGACAAACCGAAGAAAAAGGGGGGGAGGGACCGCCCAAUCCACCAUGGCCCCUCUAUGACCUGGGGUCACCACUUUCUCCCAAUGG